rnacentral:lncRNA from 1 species
GUUACAUUCUCCAGAGAAUAUGCAAGCCCUGCUCUCUGUUCUUCACAUUGUCCUCUUUGAAUCAGCUCUGAUCAGCUGGUCUGGAUCUUGACUGGGUUCUGGACAGCAAUUUCUGCAUAUUUUAGGCCCAUCCAUUUCAUGUGAGAAGUGUGGACUAGAUACUCAGAGAGGCGCUCUUUCAUUCUUCAAGUUCAUGAAGCUCUCAGCCAUGGACCAUCAUCAUUUACAGUUCAUCUGUAUCCUCUCAAAGAGCACUGCCACUUGAACAUUGACUAAAAACUUCUACUCCCAGUUAAUUGAGAUACAAGGACUUCUUUGAAGUUGCUGUUGACCCCUUCUACUCCUACUUCCAGGUAAACAGGCCCACUUGAGAUGCAGUGACCUGCAUCAGUCCCUGAAGGGGUCUGAUGUCAGGGAUACAAGCCCUAAGAGCCUCUUAUUACCCUUAAACAUCAUGGUAAUAGCCUUGGAGUUCCGCAGGUUAAAAAAAGCGACAAGGAAAAAACACGAGUGUUACCAUAUUACAGUGUUUUCCAUUGUAGCAGAAUUUUAUUUGCUGUCCCUGGAAAAAAAAUACAGAUAAUUAAAAAUAAUGUGUGCAAAACUGACCUGACCAGUAAUAAGGUAAUAAUUUUUCUAGCUGUGUGUUUGGACACUGAGUUUGCAAUUUUAUCCUCCAACGCUUCUGAGUAUUCUUUCACAUUUAUCGAUUGCUGAUAGCAGUUGCCAUUAACACAAAGAUAUUCCAGAGGCCAGAACCUCAGUGCUUCUGGCAAAGGAGGGAACUUCAGC